GAGGCCGAGCGCCCGGGGAGGGCGUGAUGACGUCACGACGCCCCGGUCAGGGCCUGGGCGCGGCUGGCGAGCCAGGUCGUCGCUAUAGCAAUGGGGAGCCGCCACCUGUCCCGCAGGGGGACUCGUGCACCUGAGGCUCGUGGCGGGAGCGGGGAGGAGGCCGAGGCCCCGAGGGCUCCGCGCCGUCUCGUCGGCUGCCUGCGAGCUAGAAGGGCGCUUCAGGAGCCAGGGAGGACAAGAGGGUCAGGUUAUGAGGGGAGCCUUUCCCGCGGGUUCCGCUGCCUGCACUGAGGCUGCGGACCUUCUCGGGGCUCAGAGCCCCCGGGCUUCCUCCUGCGCCUUACCAACCCCGAAGUGCUUUAGUGUGCGCAAUCCGCAGGCACUGCCUAGGAUCUUCGAGCCAGCCCCCUGAAGGAAGCAAAUUGCAGCUGCAGGAACAUCAGCCAGAGCAGAUACCAGAGAUCAGAGAAGACAGGAUGUGAAGUUUCCCAUCUUACAUGCCUGGCAAGAACAUGAACCUGGGCUCUUGGGAGCUUGGGGCUGGCUGGCUCUGUCACACAGUCUGGAGCCCACUGAUACUUCAAACACCAGCCUCCUGCCUUCUUGCCUCCGGAGGAAGUGUUCCUGGAUUACCUUGACUGGAGGGGAGGAGAGAAGGAGCUGCAGCUGGAUGUGCUGCCCAGGACUCUGUUACUAGUGAAAAAGGGAACGACUGAUAUCAGGAAGCAACCAGCACUUUCUGCUAUGGUACUCAGUAAGUAUGUGUGGACUUGCAUUGAAUCAGCAGGAAAGAUAAGGAAUUGUGUUUGGGGGCAAGAAGUUUGCAGUGAGGAUGAAACAUCUUAUUUGAAACAGGAGUGGAACGUAUGUGAAAGGGAGCUGAAUAUAUAGAUUCUCAGGUCAGCCACAGAGAGGUUCCCAGAAAACCAUGGCUGGUGAAAGCCCCUGGUUUAGCCUUAGGUCAAGUAUACAGCAUGGGGGGAGGGGUUGGGCAGAAGAGAGGGAAGAGCACCUUGCAAAAGAAAAAAUUGACAGACCACUGUGUAUCCUCACUCUGUGCCUUCAUCUGGGCUCAUUCAGCCUUCCAGUCAGUCUGUAGGAUGCUGCAGCUCCUGCCUGUGGAUAGCUUUGGAGGGUACCUGUUAAGUACAGUAUGCCCUAUUCUCUCCUGUGCCUAGGCUGAGAAUUUUAAGGACAUCCACAGGAAAGAUACCCCCCCCCCCCCAUCUGCUUCUCCCCAUCAAGAUGCAUCCUGCUUAGACCCUGCUUGGGGAAUUCUGGGAGCUGAAAAGUAGGGGGCUGUCCCAUGGAGAGGGAGUAAGGGCAAGGGAAGGGCUUCUCCCCUUGCUACGGAAAGCCUCAAGAAAUUUCUCCCAGGGGAUUUGAAUCAAUGUUUCUCCAUCGCACACAAUUUUACCCUGCAGGGGACAUUUGGCCAGGUCUGGGAACAUUUUUGAUUGUUAUGACUGGGGAAGUAGGGUGUGCUAUUGACAUUCAGUGGGUAGAGGCCAGAGAUGUUGCUAAACAUCCUACAAAGCACAGGACAGCCUCCCACAACAAAGAAUUAUCCUGCCCAAAAUAUGAAUAGUGUCGAGGUUGCGAAACCCUGGUUUAUAUGAGUCUGAUCACUGGGCCCACAGGAAACUUAAACAAUCCGUUUCACCCAGACCCACGCAAUGUCGAUUGACAUUUAGGCUAACUCUAGGCUUCUGACAGGCCUAUUUAAACACCAGAGGAAAGCCUAAACCAUGCUUGUCAUAAUUGACCACCACUUAUUGACCAUCAACUACGCCUGGGUUCUUUACAUAAAUUACUGCCACGUUUGCAACAACCAUGAAGACGUAGGCAGCGCUAUCAUCAUUAUCCCUGUUUCACGGAUGAGCAAACUGAGACUCAAAGAAAAUAGCAAACAGCUAGUAAGUAACCCCAGGGCCCACUCACUUUUCAUUCCCCACAUGCUUCUCAUAUUUGUUACAGUCCCAUUACUACAUAUAUCUGCUUAUGGUGUCAGCUUUUGAAAGCUCAUAAUUGGGCAUGACAAAUGAGGGAGCACUCUACCAACCGAUCAUUCUGUUCACCCUAGUACCUCUUUCUUCAGAUGUUCCAGGUGAACAGGAGUCUUUAUGCUUAAAGCGUAUAAAGAUGUGUCAGGAGGAUGCAGCUCCUUGAAAAGCAAAGCCAAGUAGCCACAAAGCAGACGGAAAAUAUGCCCAAGUUCACGAAGAGGUCAAGGAAGUGCAAAGUAAAGUAACAGGGAGAUACCUCAGGGGGUCCCACCUGUUAAAAUCACCAAGCACUGGUGCCACGUCUUGCUGGGUGUGGGGGAAAGGGCAUCCUCACUCACUGUUGGCAGGGAGGGGAGGUGUUAGACCUUUCGCAAAAGCAAUCUGCACUAUCUUCUAAAAUUAAACCCAGGGACACCUUAACCCAGCAAUCCCACUUCUGGACAGAUAACAGAUAACGUAACAAGGCUUUUACCACACCCUUGCUUAUGGUAGCAAAAAACUGGAAACACAGUGGAUGCCUGUCACAAGGGGGAAGUUUAAUAAAUUAACAAGAAUGGA